GCCCUUGUAGUAUAGAGGGGAUGCGGUUAAUUCCAAUCCUCGUAAAGCCCGGUCUAGAAUGGGGCCCUGUCACGGCCUCGACGCGUGUUCAAAUCCCGCCAAGGGCG
rnacentral:tRNA from 1 species